rnacentral:rRNA from 1 species
AUUGAACGCUGGCGGCAGGCCUAACACAUGCAAGUCGAGCGGAUGACGGGAGCUUGCUCCUUGAUUCAGCGGCGGACGGGUGAGUAAUGCCUAGGAAUCUGCCUGGUAGUGGGGGACAACGUUUCGAAAGGAACGCUAAUACCGCAUACGUCCUACGGGAGAAAGCAGGGGACCUUCGGGCCUUGCGCUAUCAGAUGAGCCUAGGUCGGAUUAGCUAGUAGGGGAGGUAAUGGCUCACCUAGGCGACGAUCUGUAACUGGUCUGAGAGGAUGAUCAGUCACACUGGAACUGAGACACGGUACAGACUCCUACGGGAGGCAGCAGUGGGGAAUAUUGGACAAUGGGCGAAAGCCUGAUCCAGCAAUGCCGCGUGUGUGAAGAAGGUCUUCGGAUUGUAAAGCACUUUAAGUUGGGAGGAAGGGCAGUAAGCUAAUACCUUGCUGUUUUGACGUUACCGACAGAAUAAGCACCGGCUAACUCUGUGCCAGCAGCCGCGGUAAUAC